rnacentral:rRNA from 1 species
GACGAACGCUGGCGGCGUGCCUAAUACAUGCAAGUCGAGCGCAGGAAACUGACGGAACUCUUCGGAGGGAAGGCAGUGGAAUGAGCGGCGGACGGGUGAGUAACACGUAAGGAACCUGCCUCAAGGAUUGGGAUAACUCCGAGAAAUCGGAGCUAAUACCGGAUAGUUCAACGGACCGCAUGGUCCGCUGAUGAAAGGCGCUCCGGCGUCACCUUGAGAUGGCCUUGCGGUGCAUUAGCUAGUUGGUGGGGUAACGGCCCACCAAGGCGACGAUGCAUAGCCGACCUGAGAGGGUGAGCGGGCACACUGGGACUGAGACACGGCCCAGACUCCUACGGGAGGCAGCAGUAGGGAAUCUUCCACAAUGGACGAAAGUCUGAUGGAGCAACGCCGCGUGAGUGAUGAAGGUUUUGGAUCGUAAAACUCUGUUGUAAGGGAAGAACACGUACGAGAGGAAAUGCUCGUACCUUGACGGUACCUUACGAGAAAGCCACGGCUAACUACGUGCCAGCCGCCGCGGUAAGAC